GACGAACGCUGGCGGCGUGCCUAACACAUGCAAGUCGAACGGAAAGGCCCUGCCUUUGUGGGGUGCUCGAGUUGCGAACGGGUGAGUAACACGUGAGUAACCUGCCCCUGACUUUGGGGUAACUUCAGGAAACUGGGGCUAAUACCGGAUAGGAGCUCCUGCUGCAUGGUGGGGGUUGGAAAGUUUCGGCGGUUGGGGAUGGACUCGCGGCUUAUCAGCUUGUUGGUGGGGUAGUGGCUUACCAAGGCUUUGACGGGUAGCCGGCCUGAGAGGGUGACCGGCCACAUUGGGACUGAGAUACGGCACAGACUCCUACGGGAGGCAGCAGUGGGGAAUAUUGCACAAUGGGCGGAAGCCUGAUGCAGCAACGCCGCGUGCGGGAUGACGGCCUUCGGGUUGUAAACCGCUUUCGCCUGUGACGAAGCGUGAGUGACGGUAAUGGGUAAAGAAGCACCGGCUAACUACGUG
rnacentral:rRNA from 1 species